rnacentral:rRNA from 1 species
GACGAACGCUGGCGGCGUGCUUAACACAUGCAAGUCGAACGGGUCUGCCCUGUUUUUUGCGGGGUGGGUCAGUGGCGAACGGGGGAGUAACACGUGAGUAACCUUCCCCUCACUUCUGGAUAACCGCUUGAAAGGGUGGCUAAUACGGGGUGUUCUUGCUGUGCCGCAUGGUGUGGCUGGGAAAGAUUCACUUUUGUUGUGUUUUGGUGGGGGAUGGGCUCGCGGCCUAUCAGCUUGUUGUUGGGGUGAUGGCCUGCCAAGGCUUUGACGGGUAGCCGGCCUGAGAGGGUGGGCGGUCACACUGGGACUGAGAUACGGACAAGACUACUGCGGGCGGCAGCAGUGGGGGGUAUUGAACAAUGGGAGGAAGCAUGAUGCAGCGACGUCGCGUGAGGGAUGGAGGCCUUCGGGUUGUGAACCUCUUUCGCCGGUGAAGAAGGUCCUGCUCUUUGUGGUGGGGUUGACGGUAGCCGGGUCAUGAAGCGACGGCUAACUACGUG